rnacentral:lncRNA from 1 species
CAAACAAAACCAGGUGCUCCGCAGGGCGCAGCUUUGUACAACCCCAGUGGUUUAACCCUGAACAGUUGGGGCAAAUUUGGUCACAAUAUUCAAGCUUGAUUCUGUCUGAAUUUGGAUUGUGAUCAAAUUUUUGACAUAAUAUAGGUUUUUGUCACAAAAUUAAUGUGGUCAAAGAUCUAACAAAUCUAUUGCACAAUACUGUGCAAUUGAAGAUUUCUUCUUGAAACUUUUCAAAAUUCGAAAUUUAAACCCCCCCAGUUUUUGAAACCCCCUUGGAGCAAUAACCCUUAAACUCAAUCCCAUGCUUUCCAUUGCAGUAUUGAACCUUGUAGUACAAUUUCAGAGAGAUCCAUACACUUAAACACAAGUUAUUGUCAUGAUUGUUUGGAAACUAGAAACAUGCUUCUUUUUGGGCCUUUUUGGGCCCCUAAUUCCUACAUAUUUUGGGCAAUUAACCCAAAACUUAAUCCCAGCCUCCCCUUUGUUAUAUGGUACAUUGUGAUACAAAUUCAGAGAGAUCCAUACAAUUACACAUAAGUUAUUGUCUUGAAAGUAGAAUAAACAGCUGCGCCGUGAGCGCAUGAUACGCCCGACGUCUUGUGUGGAAGUUUUAUGCAAUAAUCAUAAAUAGUUUCUGAGAAAGUUUUAAGCAAUUACCAUUUAUUGCUUUUGAGACACGGCGGGACAUGUGAAACCCCCCCCCCCCCCCCACCCUGUUUUUUUUUUUACAAAUAUCACUAAAAUAAAAUUUUGAAUCAAACCAAAAAGUAUACAGAUCUUUAGAUUAAUAUAACAACGAAGUGUGUACAGUUUCAAGCAAUAAUCAUAAAUUGUUUUUGAG